GUCAGCUGCGGCGGGCGGGCCGGCGCGGGGAGCUGUGGGCGGCAGCUGCGUCUCCUGCCACCGCCCUCCCUCCGCCACGAUGCCGGGGAUCGACAAGCUGCCCAUCGAGGAGACGCUGGAGGACAGCCCGCAGCAAGGUCUUUACUAGGUGUAUUUGAAGAAGAUGCCACAGCUAUUUCCAACUAUAUGAACCAGUUGUAUCAAGCUAUGCAUCGGAUUUAUGAUGCACAGAUGAAUUAAGUGCAGCAACACACCUGACCUCAAAACUUUUAAAAGAAUAUGAAAAACAGGUUUUCCAUUGGGAGGUGAUGAUGAAGUUAUGAGCUCUACAUUGCAACAGUUUUCAAAAGUUAUAGAUGAGUUAGCUCUUGUCAUGCAGUGCUUUCAACUCAACUUGCUGAUGCCAUGAUGUUCCCCAUUACCCAGUUUAAAGAAAGAGAUCUGAAAGAAUACUAACAUUAAAGGAAGUAUUUCAGAUUGCAAGUAAUGUCAUGAUGCUGCGAUUAAUAGAUAUAGCCGUUUAUCAAAAAAAAGAGAAAAUGACAAGGUGUGGUAC
rnacentral:lncRNA from 1 species